GAUGAACGCUAGCUACAGGCUUAACACAUGCAAGUCGAGGGGCAGCAUGGUCUUAGCUUGCUAAGGCCGAUGGCGACCGGCGCACGGGUGAGUAACACGUAUCCAACCUGCCGUCUACUCUUGGACAGCCUUCUGAAAGGAAGAUUAAUACAAGAUGGCAUCAUGAGUUCACAUGUUCACAUGAUUAAAGGUAUUCCGGUAGACGAUGGGGAUGCGUUCGAUUAGAUAGUAGGCGGGGUAACGGCCCACCUAGUCUUCGAUGGAUAGGGGUUCUGAGAGGAAGGUCCCCCACAUCUGAACUGAGAUCCGGUCCAAAAUCCGACGGAAGGCAGCAGUGAGGAAUACUGUUCAAUGGGCGAGAGCCUGAACCAGCCAAGUAGCGGGAAGGAGGACUGCCCUAUGGGUUGUAAACUUCUUGUAUAAAGGAAUAAAGUCGGGUAUGUAUACCCGUUUGCAUGUACUUAAUGAAUAAGGAUCGGCUAACUCCGUG
rnacentral:rRNA from 1 species